UGGGGAAUCUUCCGCAAUGGGCGAAAGCCUGACGGAGCAACGCCGCGUGAGUGAAGACGGCCUUCGGGUUGUAAAGCUCUGUUACACGGGACGAACGGGUUUUGUGCGAACAGCAUAAGACCGUGACGGUACCGUAGAAGAAAGCCACGGCUAACUACGUGCCAGCAGCCGCGGUAAUACGUAGGUGGCAAGCGUUGUCCGGAAUGAUUGGGCGUAAAGGGCGCGCAGGCGGCCGGCCAAGUCUGUCUAAAAAGUGCGGGGCUUAACCCCGUGAGGGGAGAGAAACUGGCCGGCUGAGAGUGUCGGAGAGGAAAGCGGAAUUCCUAGUGUAGCGGUGAAAUGCGUAGAUAUUAGGAGGAACACCGGUGGCGAAAGCGGCUUUCUGGACGACAACUGACGCUGAGGCGCGAAAGCCAGGGGAGCAAACG
rnacentral:rRNA from 1 species